GCCCGCCGCGCGCGCCCACGGAGAUGCGCCCGAGGGCCGGCUCCUGAGCGGCCGCGAGGGACCCGGGGGGUGCACCCCUGUCGCCGGCCGCGGCCCGGGUGCAUCAACCCCUCAUCGCCGCGCGAGCUCCCGGGCUCCCGACGCCGGCCGAGCGGUUCCUGGGGUCCCGCGCCUCCCCUCCCUUCCCGAAGGACUCGUCCCCGACCCUCCCACCCCCACAGCUCCUGCGGAGUACAGACCUCGACGCGAGGGUGCGGCCCAGGCCUGCAGCGCCUGUCGCUUCGGACGAGUCACGUCGCCUCCCAGAACCUCUGGUUCUCUUCUGCCGAGCGGAGGUGAUGAGAGGGAGCUUGCGGGUCGUGAAGGGCGUUCCAGGAGCCCAGGUCCCCAAACCCGCUUGGUGAACAGUCCCAGGCUCAGCGCAGGUGCAGGUGCAGGUGCAGGUGCUGCACUUGUUCCAGCCCCAGAUGAGGGGCGCGGCUUUUUUGGAAGAGUUUGGGGAAGAUGGAGGGAAUGGGGGCUGCUCUCAAAGAGGCCUGGACUUAAAGAAGAGAUCUACUUGUGGCUUUUAAAGGGCGGCUUGUGUGCAUGCACUUUCUGACAUAGAAGGACCUCUGAAGGAUCCCACGGGAGAUCUCUGGGGUCCCUCCUUUACUUUGUGCCCUGCCCUCUCCCUUCUCUGAGCUGGACUGCUUAGACUGCUCCACCCUGGAGGAUAGGAUUGGAGCAGCCAUGGAUGGACUCUGGGGAGGCAGGCACUGUGCCUAUGAGGUUUAUUGGCUCCAUUUGACAGAGGAAGAAACUAAGUCCGAAAGAUGAAAUGAUUUCCCCAGUUGGGAUAACUGUGUAUAUUAUGUAUUGUAAAAAGAACCAAUCCUGGAGGACAGGACAGCACUGAGAACCCAACAGCCUAAGUUCCAUAGCAAUGAAACCUUAAGCUCUUUUGGAAGAGCUACCAGUGGAUGUCAAGGGCCAAGUCUGGAAGGGUCCUACUGCUGAUGAGCUUUGUGGAGGCCAGCUUGAUGGGGGAAGUGCUGGAGGUUGGGUGGAACACAGAGAAGUUUGGAAAAGCUGGGGCAAUGAACCCAAAAAAGUAAAUAGAGGCCAGAUUGUGAAGUGCCUCAUGAUGAUAGGAUGAGAAAUUGGGGCUUGAAUUUACGGCUACAGGAAGACCUUGAACAGUUGUGAACAGAGGUGUGUUGUGACCCAAGGGGAGACUGAAAGACAGCUCCCCAGACUCCUCCCCACAAGCAUUUUCCAAAGUCUGAAGAUUCCAUCUUGUUAAUGCCAGCCCUUCCCCUGUCAUCCCUCCCACCCCUCCGAAGACUCAGGCCCCAUCACCUCUUCCAGCCAAGGGUGUCACCCUCUCCCAGGAAACAGGCUGGCCAACAGCAGCUUGCCAUUGAUUUUGUCCCUGUCUGGCUGUGAAACUCCGUUUGGGCUUCUCACUGCCAGCUCAGAAAGUCUAGACAGCUCCAUGGGGCUUCCCACUUCUCAACCCCACACCCAAACCAGCUGACCUCAGGGCAUGCUGCCCACCACUGUCCUGGCCAAAUUCAUUCCUGCUCAAGACCUUAGGCUGCCUUGCAGGAAGUCUUCCUGCAGACCUUCCUUUCACAACCCCACUGUGCUAGACAGGCAGUCCAUUCUCUACACUCUGCUGCCUUGCACCAGCCACUGGCUAAUCCAUCCGGGUCCUUUCCUCCUCCCUGCUGUAUUGUUUCUCUUUCUUUUUUUCAGUACUGGGGCUAAACCAGGGCAGCUUUAUCCCUGAGCUACAUCCCCAGCCCUUUUUAUUUUGAGACAGGUUCUCGCUAAAUUCCCAAGGCUGCCCUUGAACUUGCAAUCCUCCUGCCUUAGCUGGGAUUACAGGCGGUCCCCACCACACCUGGGCCCCCUACUGUAGUCCAGUGGGAAGGAUCCAGAUGUAGUCAGACAGGACUAGACUGGAAUUCUGUCUCCCAUUACCACAAGUGACCUAUGACUUAUGGCACUUCCUGAGUCUCUUUCCUCACCUGCGAUAGAAUAACAAUACCCACUUCCUAGAGUUGCCCAGAGUUCAAUGAACUGAGGCUAUUAAAGAGCCUCAUAGAGCUUAGUAUGUAGUUAUCUAAAUAGAUGGCAGUUUCUCUUUUUCCCUCAGGGGUAGGAGCCUUCUGAGCUCCUAGCAUCCUGCUGAGAACAUAGUAAGUACUCAAUAAAUA
rnacentral:lncRNA from 1 species